CAUGAGCUACUUGAAUAUACAGAACAGAUCAAGGUCUCUCUUGAAACUUGCUGAGGGUGCACUCAAUCCCAUGGUCCAUAUUGCUGACCCAAUAUUGACCCCUGAGGGACACCACUCAUCAUUCUUCUCCACCUGGACAUUGAGCUGUUGACCACAACUCUUUCAGGGAGACCAUCCAGCCAAUUCCUUAUUUUUUUGAUCCAUCUGUCAAAUCCACAUCCCUACAGUUUAGAGACGAGGUUUACAAGGCUCCUCACUGAAGGACAGGAAGAACACAGUUUUUUUCUUAUUUUACUUUCCAAAACUCAACUGGAAUCAGAAAUUAGAAGUCUCAUCUUGCAACAUAAAGGACCAAGGCAACAGACAAAUUGGCCUUUCUCCACUGAUAUAAUGAGAGAAAAUGAAGAAGAAGAUGGAAGCAGAAGCAGCAAGUAGACAAGCAGAUGUAGAUGUGCACUUGGAUACCAGACCUCUGGAUAGCAAAGGAGCAUACAGUACCCAGCACCUUGAAGAUAAACAGCUCAGAAAACACUAUCAGGAAAGCACUGCACUGUGUUAUAUCAGAUCACAAGAUAAUGCUCUCACAAAGGGAUGCCCAGGAGUUCAACUCUGUGUCACCUCCUGUUCAGGCACCAGCAGAAGAAGCGAGCUGGGCAACCUUCAAAUUUUCCGUACAUCAGUACUACUGAGUCUUGGGAACAGAACCAAAUCACUUCUGCAUUUGAAGCUAGUUUUGCCUUUGCAACUGACUGUAAAACCCCAACCAAACAGAAACACAAUGGUGAUGAAGCCUGGUAAGCAGCGGGUGCCAACAAUGCCAGACUGGGAAUGAUGAAGUCAAGCGGUUCGGCCACUUAUAGUUUCACAACGGAUGGGGAUGUUCCAGGAACAAAUAGAUGCUCGAGGUUCACAAUGGCUUAUUCAGCAUUCACAUACACUGAAUAAAGAGACUCGAAAAAAGAAACACACACAACCACAAAAGCCAAGCUGGUUGAAGCACUGAUUUGGGGUAAUUGUUGUCGAGAGAUGAAUGUGACGACUCGAUGGGUAUGAAAAGCUGGACCCAGAUGGCAGUAGGUAAGAAAAGAUCGUAGCAAUCAACUCUGCAGCAUAGCUGUCAGCAAUACAAGGACAGAUCAUUCCGUUAAUAUCAGGAGAAUGGAAGAGGAUCUUUUCGUUGCUGUGGGAAGAUCAAGGUAUUAAAAUUACAUACGUACAUACGUCAAGAAGUGAAGACCAAUUGCAGGACAGAUACAGGAACCUUUAAGCAGCUCCUUUUAGGAUUGUAUGUAUGACUUCAGAAUGUUUGAUCCAAGAAAGCCUGGCAAAUGUUUAAGACCUUCUA